AAAAAAAAACUAUUUCACUAUAAUAGAAGUUGCCAUAGCCAUGUCACAGCUGGCCUGUUGCUCAGCUGCUAGUCGUUCUUUAUUUUGUUUCUCUCUCUCUCUCGACAUACAAAUUUGAUGGCAUUGUGGAGUUUGAAAACACAGGAGAGCAAAGCAAGGCUAUCUUGGCUGACCAUGCCCUUGCAAUUACAUUUAUCCCUCUAUUUCACAGCCCAUUGCAAGUUUUGUAACUAGAGGUGCAGCUCCUGGUGUUGUGUUGGCCAAGAUUGUUGUCGAAUCAGUGCUGCAGCUUGAGCGCCAUGGUGCAUCAGUUCUGGCUGUUGUCAGUGACGGUGCGGGCAACAUCAGAUCAAUGUGGACACAUCUUGGAAUAUCGGGAAAGUUGCACCAGCCUGUGAAAAAUAUUCCGCACCCUACACUUGAGGAUGGACGCUUUUUUCAUUUCCUGUGCGAUGUGCCCCACAUUACACAAUGUGUGAGAAACCAUCUCCUGACGCACACAUAUGCAAAGGCUGGCACCAACUGCAUCAAUUUUAAACAUAUGAGCGCCUGUACAAUGCUGAAAAGGACAGCCAUCUCAAGAUUGUUCCAAAAUUAACUUCCUCCCACAUCAAGCCAAGCAAGCUGGAGAAAAUGAAUGUUAGACUGGCAACACAGUUGUUCAGCAGGAGUGUUGCCAUUGGGCCAAAGCUUUACAGGGAGCAGCGUAAACCAGGCUUCGAAGACGGUGAAGGAACGGAAAAAUUCAUGAUGCAGGCUUGCGGCUCCAGAAAGAAGACAGCGUGCUGCUGAACAUGCUGGUAAAUGGAGAAGACGCCUGUCAUGGAUACCUGUGCUAAACCUUGCGCUAUGACAAGAGGUGCCCACCGUUGUCUCCACGUCCCGCUCCUCUCCUGCUUGACGAGCCAGUCCCAAUACUGCAGGGCAUGAGCCAGCUGGAUGCCGAGGUCAAUGCCCCAAUCCAGG
rnacentral:lncRNA from 1 species